rnacentral:sRNA from 1 species
CCUUUGACUUUUUAAUUGUUCAAUAAAGGAUUU